GCGGAAGUGGUGAAACUGGCAGACACGCAGGUCUCAGAAGCCUGUGGCUGUAAAGCCUUGAGGGUUCGACUCCCUCCUUCCGCACCA
rnacentral:tRNA from 1 species